rnacentral:rRNA from 1 species
GACGAACGCUGGCGGCGUGCUUAACACAUGCAAGUCGAACGGAAAGGCCCUGCUUUUGCGGGGUGCUCGAGUGGCGAACGGGUGUGUAACACGCGAGUAACCUGCCCUUGACUUUGGGAUAACUUCACGAAACUGGGGCUCAUACCGGAUAUGAGCUCCUGCUGCAUGGUGGUGGAUGGAAAGUUUCGGCGGUUGGGGAUGGACUCGCGGCUUAUCAGCUUGAUUGUGGGGUAGUGGCUUACCAAGGCUGCGACGGGUAGCCGGCCUGAGAGGGUGACCGGCCACAUUGGGACUGAGAUACGGCCCAGACUCCUACGGGAGGCAGCAGGGGGGAAUAUUGCGCAAUGGGCGGAAGCCUGAUGCAGCAACGCCGGGUGCGGGAUGACGGCCUUCGGGGUGUAAACAGCUUUCGCCUGUGACGAAGCGUGAGUGACGGUAAUGGGUAAAGAAGCACCGGCUAACUACGUG